rnacentral:ncRNA from 1 species
UUGAGCCGUACGAGAUGAAAUUCUCAUAUACGGUUCUCGGAGGGGGUUCUGAUUAGUUACCUAUCUCAAU